AUUGGUAUGGGUAUCUGGGGGGGGUGUCUGGGGGUCCCUACAGGGGUUCUGGGUCUCCCUGUCUCUGACCCUGGUUCCCCCCAUGGCAGGCGGGGAGGGCAGCGGGAUUGGUAUAGGUAUCUGAGAGGGGUCUGGGGGUCCCUACAGGGGUUCUGGGUCCCCCCGUCUCUGACCCUGGUUCCCCCCAUGGCAGGCAGGAGGGGGCAGCGGGAUUGGUAUAGGUAUCUGAGAGGGGUCUGGGGGUCCCUACAGGGGUUCUGGGUCCCCCCGUCUCUGACCCUGGUUCCCCCCAUGGCAGGCAGGAGGGGGCAGCGGGAUUGGUAUAGGUAUCUGAGAGGGGUCUGGGGGUCCCUACAGGGGUUCUGGGUCCCCCCGUCUCUGACCCUGGUUCCCCCCAUGGCAGGCAGGAGGGGGCAGCGGGAUUGGUAUAGGUAUCUGAGGGGUGGGUCUGGGGGUCCCUACAGGGGUUCUGGGUCCCCCCGUCUCUGACCCUGGUUCCCCCCAUGGCAGGCAGGAGGGGUAGCGGGAUUGGUAUGGGUAUCUG